rnacentral:rRNA from 1 species
GAUGAACGCUGGCGGCGUGCCUAACACAUGCAAGUCGAGCGAGGGUUUGCUCAGUAUUGAGUAUUCUAAAACUAGAAUGUUCAAUUCUGAGCAAAACCAAGCGGCGGACGGGUGAGUAACGCGUGGGUAACCUGCCCUAUACACAUGGAUAACAUACUGAAAAGUUUACUAAUACAUGAUAAUAUAUAUUUGCGGCAUCGCAGAUAUAUCAAAGUGUUAGCGGUAUAGGAUGGACCCGCGUCUGAUUAGCUAGUUGGUGAGAUAACUGCCCACCAAGGCGACGAUCAGUAGCCGACCUGAGAGGGUGAUCGGCCACAUUGGAACUGAUACACGGUCCAAACUCCUACGGGAGGCAGCAUUGGGGAAUAUUGCACAAUGGGCGAAAGCCUGAUGCAGCAACGCCGCGUGAACGAUGAAGGUCUUCGGAUCGUAAAGUUCUGUUGCAGGGGAAGAUAAUGACGGUACCCUGUGAUGAAGCCCCGUCUAACUACUUGCCAUUAUCCGCGUUAAUACUUAUGGGGCUAGCGUUAUCUGGAUUUACUGGUCGUAAUGGGUGCGUAGUUGGUCCUUCAAGUCGGUGGGUAAAGGCUACGGCUCAACCGUGUAAGCCGUCGAAACUGGAUGACUUGAGUGUAUGAUAUGUGAGUGUAAUUCCCGGUGUAUCGGUGAAUUGCGUAUUUAUUGGUUGGGAACAUUUGUAUUGAAGGCUGGUUUUCUGGAUGUAAUGUUACAUUUGAUGUUGUGUGUUGUUGGUUAUCUGACUGGAUUAUUUUUCCUGUGAUUUUCUGGGCUAUUUUUAUAUUGGAUGUCAUGUGUUAUGUGUGUCUUGUGAUGUCGCGGGUGGCAAAAAUACAUAAAUGUGUGUUUUCUGUUGUAUGGUUUACUUAACUGUGGUUAU